rnacentral:misc_RNA from 1 species
CUUAAUUUAGCAUUUGUAUCGAUUAAUGUUGGACUUUUUUUACUUAAUUUAAAGUUAAUGAAAUGUAAAUGUUUAUUUCAGGGUCAUCACUAAGGAUUAUUGAACUUUAUUUUAUGUCUUCAAAUGUUACUCAUUUCGUCGGAAUUUGAGCAGGUCCACUACCUAAAGACGUGCAUGAUGAACAUUUAUUAUUAGAUGCCAACAAGUUGAGCGAUAUUCUCAAAAAUGGUUUUAACAUCAUUAUUGUUGGGAAAGGCGAUCUUACUCCGGAUGACUUGUUUGUAUCGGUACAGAAUGUAGAGGACAGCAAACGUAUACCUACAACGUCUUGUAUUACUGUAUUCAUUUGUUAUGUAAAAGUAGAUGAUUUGGAACAAACAGUCGCAGAGGAGAUAGUGCAGACAAUUGAAUAUUUGAAAGAGACAGGUAGAGAUCGAGAUGAAUUUGCAGAUUCAUUUAUUAUUGCCUGCAAAACAAGCAAAUCAGCAUCGGAUGAAGAAAUACUACGUUUUCGAGAAGAAAUUCGUCUGAAAGCAGAGGUGACACUUGGCUGUGUCUUAGACACUGACAAUGUCAUUAUUUCGACAGGGGAAUGUGAUAUUAAACACCGCAUUUCAUAUAUAUACGAACGCUGCAUCAUUGAGUUGUUAAUCAGGAUCCGUUCAUUUCUUGGGUUAUUCGUUAAGAAAAGACGGCAAAUAGAACAGAAUCAAACCUGUAUUUUGCACCAGACACCGGUUUUGUCGGCCAUUUUAGGUUUUCUAAGAAAUAGGUUUUAUUUAUCAGAUAUUUCUUACUUGAAACAUAAUAGAAAAUCUUUCCUUAAUCAAGUAAUACCUCGUUUGGCACGUCACGUGAGAUGCACAAUAAUAACACUCGUGUCCUCAAAAUAUACUUUGCCCACUUGGUUAUGCACUCGGCUACUAAACGUAACUGAGUUUGAAGACGUUUUGAUUAAAUCAGUUUCAAACAAAACCCGGUACGUGCUGGGUAAACUUGAGCAUACUAACGUAUCUAAACAUAUGGAAAUACAAAAUGUCAAAAAUGGCGUCCUCGAACUUUAAUCCAAAGUAUUGAAUCCUUCAAACUGUUUUACAUUUGAUUUCAUCUUGCUUUUUCUUCAAAGAGACUUUGAGGACGCGUCCUCGAAUGCAGAAAAGAAAAUAUCUUCAAUGAGAAAAGUAUCAAUCA